rnacentral:rRNA from 1 species
UACGUAGGGGGCAAGCGUUGUCCGGAAUCAUUGGGCGUAAAGCGCGCGUAGGCGGCCCGGUAAGUCCGCUGUAAAAGUCCAGGGCUCAACCCUGGAAAGCCGGUGGAUACUGUCGGGCUAGAGUCCGGAAGAGGCGAGUGGAAUUCCUGGUGUAGCGGUGAAAUGCGCAGAUAUCAGGAAGAACACCUAUGGCGAAGGCAGCACUCUGGGACGGUACUGACGCUGAGACGCGAAAGCGUGGGGAGCGAACAGG